GAUUAUUUUCUAGAUUGUUCAUGAUUCUUAACAAUAUGAAGAGAUGAGUGUCAGUUUUGACUUUGGAUGUAUGCAACUCAUUGCUCAUGAUCCCUCUACAUGUUUGACUACACUUCUACACUGCAUUGCAGAAUAUAACAAACCAAUUCACAAUUUUCUUAUGCUAAAACAUGCAGCGGUCUAGCUUGCAGUUUGGUAUUCAUUUUCUUUUUCUUUCAUUAGCUAUCCUGAUUAUGGAAUGAUCAAGCUUGCUUUUCCAUGUGGCCUUAGAAAUAAUCAACUUCACCGAAUGUCAACAAGAAGGCAUGAGCUUACGUGUAGCACAGCAUGGAAGCACGCUCCUUGCUCUGCUAUGGUCAAGUUUGUACAGUUUGCUUUGUUGUUGUUAGAAAGAGGUACAUACUACCUGCAUCAGGAGCAGGAUUUCUCUUGAAUGAAACCCGUCAUUUUCUUUGCAAAGAUCCAUCAAAAAGACAAUAAAGGCUAACUCAUAUUGAUUUGUCUGCAUUCCUACGAGAGAGUUCAACUACAUUUUCUACUCUACACUAACUGUAUUAUCUGGUGUCCCAAGUAUCAAAUGUCAUAGGUGUUGGUACUGCAUGUUGGUAACCGAGAAUUAUCUAAACCUUAUUCUGUUCGCCUAUGAAUUACUUAUAUGGUACUGUUGAGCGUGUAAUUUUGCUUGGAGUUCUUCUGGGUUUCAAGCUAGUCCUAUGAAAAAAAGUUUUGCCAUCAUGUACAAAAUUUCUUGAUAUAUUCCUACAUGCCGUAGUUUGUGUUGUGGAGCCAUUUUUGUGGUUGUCAUAUGCUACCGCAAAAUUGGAAGCACUUUUGUGGAAAUGACUGAAACAAUUCUGUUUUCAUUUAUAUUUAUUUGC